rnacentral:misc_RNA from 1 species
AUAACUUUCCUUUAGACCUAGCUGCUAUCGAAGCUCCAACAAAUGGAUAAGACUUAUUCUUAGUGUAUUGUUGUGAAAAUGGAAUAAUUGAAAAGAAAAGAUUAAGGAACAAUAAACCCUUUUACUUGGUCCUUAAUCUUUUCUUUUCAAUUUUUUAGUGUACUAAAUUGUAUAGUUUAUUUUCAUUCCAGAAAAAUAACGAAAAAACAUUUUUUCAUUAUGUAGAAUUUUUUUUAUCUUUAAAAGAUAUUAUUAUCUUAGAAAGAAGUUAUUUGCCUGUGUUAUAUUAUAUAACACACUGUAAGUAAGAUGAUUUUGAAUUUAAAAUAUUUAAAAGUCUAUUGUMCAAUGAAUUAAAUUAAUCAUAAUCAUAGAGGGGCGGAUG